rnacentral:RNase_P_RNA from 1 species
GGUACAGACGAUCGCUGUGUUUUACACAGAGGAAAGUCCGGGCUUCACAGGGCAGGACGCCGGAUAACAUCCGGUGGAGGUGACUCCAAGGAAAGUGCAACAGAAAAUAUACCGCCAACUGAAAAGCGAUAGCUUUUCAGUUUGGUUAGGGUGGAAUGGUGGUGUAAGAGACCACCGAUCUGCAGGUAACUGCAGAUGCCGUGUAAACCCCGUCCGAAGCAAGGCUUAUCGAAAGCUAUACGGCUGCCCGUCGUGCUUUUGAGGUUGCCGCUUAAGGUGCGCGGUGACGCGUAUCUCAGAUAGAUGAUCGUCCGCGACAUAAUCCGGCUUACCGUACGGCUCU